rnacentral:tRNA from 1 species
UACACUUUAGCUCAGUUUGGCAGAGCAUUGGUAUUUGGAACCAACGGUCGCGGGUUCGAUUCCCGUAAGUGUAU